CCUACGGGGGGCUGCAGUGGGGAAUUUUGGACAAUGGGCGAAAGCCUGAUCCAGCCAUUCCGCGUGAGUGAAGAAGGCCUUCGGGUUGUAAAGCUCUUUCGGCAGGAACGAAACGGUGAGGGUUAAUACCUCUUACUAAUGACGGUACCUGAAGAAGAAGCACCGGCUAACUACGUGCCAGCAGCCGCGGUAAUACGUAGGGUGCGUGCGGUAAGCGGAAUUACUGGGCGUAAAGAGUCAAGUGAGAUGGGAAAUCCCCGGGCUUAACCUGGGAACUGCAUUUGAAACUAUGUCGCUAGAGUGUAGCAGAGGGGGGUAGAAUUCCACGUGUAGCAGUGAAAUGCGUAGAGAUGUGGAGGAAUACCGAUGGCGAAGGCAGCCCCCUGGGUUAACACUGACGCUCAUGCACGAAAGCGUGGGGAGCAAACAGGAUUAGAUACCCCUGUAGUC
rnacentral:rRNA from 1 species